AAUAGAUACCCCGGUAGUCCACGCCCUAAACGAUUGCUCACUAGGUGUUGGGGAAGCGAUUCCUUGGUACCGUAGCUAACGCGUGAAGUGAGCCGCCUGGGGAGUACGGCCGCAAGGUUAAAACUCAAAGGAAUUGACGGGGACCCGCACAAGCGGUGGAUGAUGUGGAUUAAUUCGAUGCAACGCGAACAACCUUACCUACCCUUGACAUGUCCGGAAGCCUGCUGAAAGGCGGGGGUGCUCGAAAGAGAACCGGGAACACAGGUGCUGCAUGGCUGUCGUCAGCUCGUGUCGUGAGAUGUUGGGUUAAGUCCCGCAACGAGCGCAACCCUUGUCCCUAGUUGCUACGCAAGGGCACUCUAGGGAGACUGCCGGUGACAAACCGGAGGAAGGUGGGGAUGACGUCAAGUCCUCAUGGCCCUUAUGGGUAGGGCUUCACACGUCAUACAAUGGACGGUACAGAGGGUUGCCAACCCGGCGAGGGGGGAGCCGAAUCCCAGAAAGCCGUUCGUAGUCCGGAUCGCAGUCUGCAACUCGACUGCGUGAAGUCGG
rnacentral:rRNA from 1 species